GACGAACGCUGGCGGCGUGCUUAACACAUGCAAGUCGAACGAAGUGGCGAAAGGGUGAGUAACGCGUAAUCAACCUGCCCUUCAGAGGGGGACAAAAGUUGGAAACGACUGCUAAUACCGCAUACUGAAGGAGGGGAUUGCGUGUGAUUAGCUAGUUGUCGGGGUAACGGCCCACCAAGGCGAUGAUCAGUAGCCGGUUUGAGUGGGUGAGCGGCCACAUUGGGACUGAGACACGGCCCAGACUCCUACUGGAGUCAGGAGUGGGUGAUCGUCCGCAAUGGACGAAAGUCUGACGGAGCAACGCCGCGUGAGUGAUGACGGCUUUCGGGUUGUAAAGCUCUGUUAAUCGGGACGCGGUACCGGAAUAGAAAGCCACGGCUAACUACGUGCCAGCAGCCGCGGUAAUAC
rnacentral:rRNA from 1 species